ACGUUAGCGGCGGACGGGUGAGUAACACGUGGGUAACCUACCUAUAAGACUGGGAUAACUUCGGGAAACCGGAGCUAAUACCGGAUAAUAUUUCUAACCGCAUGGUUCGAUAGUGAAAGAUGGUUUUGCUAUCACUUAUAGAUUGACCCGCGCCGUAUUAGCUAGUUGGUAAGGUAACGGCUUACCAAGGCGACGAUACGUAGCCGACCUGAGAGGGUGAUCGGCCACACUGGAACUGAGACACGGUCCAGACUCCUACGGGAGGCAGCAGCC
rnacentral:rRNA from 1 species